UACGUAGGCAGCAAGCGUUGUUCGGAAUUACUGGGCGUAAAGAGUGUGUAGGCGGUGUUCUAAGUUUGUCGUGAAAUCUCCCGGCUUAACUGGGAGGUGCGGCGAAAACUGGAUGCUAGAGGAUGGGAGAGGUAAGCGGAAUUCCUGGUGUAGCGGUGAAAUGCGUAGAUAUCAGGAGGAACACCUGUGGUGUAGACAGCUUACUGGACCAUUUCUGACGCUGAGACACGAAAGCGUGGGGAGCGAACAGG
rnacentral:rRNA from 1 species